rnacentral:rRNA from 1 species
AUGCUUAACACAUGCAAGUCGAACGAGAAAGUGGAGCAAUCCAUGAGUAAAGUGGCGACCGGGUGAGUAACACGUGACUAACCUGCCUUCGAGUGGGGGAUAACCUCGGGAAACCGGGGCUAAUACCGCAUAAUGCCUUCGGGUUAAAGGAGCAAUUCGCUUGAAGAGGGGGUCGCGGCUGAUUAGCUAGUUGGCGGGGUAACGGCCCACCAAGGCGAUGAUCGGUAGCCGGCCUGAGAGGGCGCACGGCCACACUGGAACUGAAACACGGUCCAGACUCCUACGGGAGGCAGCAGUGGGGAAUUUUGCGCAAUGGGGGAAACCCUGACGCAGCAACGCCGCGUGGAGGAUGAAGCCCUUUGGGGCGUAAACUCCUUUCGACCAAGACGAUAAUGACGGUACUGGUGGAAGAAGCACCGGCUAACUCUGUGCCAGCAGCCGCGGUAAUACAGAGGGUGCGAGCGUUGUUCGGAAUUAUUGGGCGUAAAGGGCGCGUAGGCGGCGCGGUAAGUCACCUGUGAAAUCUCCCGGCUUAACUGGGAGCCUGCAGGCGAAACUACCGUGCUGGAGUAUGGGAGAGGUGCGUGGAAUUCCCGGUGUAGCGGUGAAAUGCGUAGAUAUCGGAAGGAACACCAGUGG